rnacentral:rRNA from 1 species
CCCCUAGAUGUUCUGGGCCGCACGCGCGCUACACUGAACAGUUCAACAAGUCUUAACCUUGGCCGAUAGGUCUGGGUAAUCUUUGAACGCUGUUCGUGAUUGGGAUAGACCUUUGCAAUUAUGGGUCUUCAACGAGGAAUUCCUAGUAAACGCAAGUCAUCAGCUUGCAUUGAUUACGUCCCUGCCCUUUGUACACACCGCCCGUCGCACCUACCGAUUGAAUGGUCCGGUGAAAUCUCGGGAUGGCGGCUUGGUCGCUUGCGUCCGACUGCUGAAACUUGAUUAAACCAUNUNAUUUAGNGGAAGGUGAANUCGUANCA